UUUCAACCUCAAGACUCUAGGGGGUCAAAAGACCUUUUUACAGGAGUAGGCUAGUGUUGCCUGCAUGUCAAAUGUUUACAUAUUAUGUACACCCUAAAACAAAUAACUAAAAACAAACAGAAGUUGUUUGGCUCAAGUCCUCAAACUGACAGAGAUUUGCUGAAUAUGACAUUUGAAAACUUAUGUGACAGCCAGAGACUCUCAGAUCCUGACCGUGGCUCCCAAGAUCUUCAAGAAGACAAUGGAUACAGCAACUGACAACUCCACCUGGACCAGGAAAGCCUCUCAUCAUCUGGACCUGGCAGCCAAGACCACUGUCCUGAUACCUCUGCCCUCAUUGUCAUGGAGACCACAGGAACCUGGGAAAUCUGUCUAGACUUAACAGACACCAUCCAGGGAGCACCUGUAGGCUGCAAACUGCUGAGCUCUGGACUUGCUGAAAGCUACUGUGAACCAGUCCAGCCAACUGACAACUGACACCCCAGUUUCAGCUGGAAGCAGUUACAGAGAAGAGUACAUCAUCCCUGUCCCCUUAACAGGUUGAAAAUGCUGAGACAAAUUCUCUUUGGGAGAAACCUGUGGCUUACAUGUCCAAGAUUGUGAGACAGCCCAGCUAAAGUAAAACCUUUACCAUGCAGACUCACUAUGCUGCCGCAUCUGCAUGAUGGGCCUACAACACUGGGCUGACUCCAUGCAUUCAUGGUACAGUCCUAAACGCAGGAAAGGGGUACUGUGUGAUGGUCCGUCUCUUCCUCUAGAGCCCAUGGACACACAGGACCCAUGAUUGUGUCCUCUCUAGUUACAUGAAGCAGGGGAAUGAAGAGGUCUAUCUUAACGUCAGUGCAGCCAUGACAGACUGCACACUAACAAUACUGGGACUAGACCUCACCCUUGCAAUAAUCAGAAAAAACAGACUGUACCCUGUGGUGGAUCAACUAGAAUUGAGACAAGUACUAGAUGCUCCAGAACACUAAAAAUAGCUUACCUAACUUGUUAUAUAGAUUGCCAACUUCCUUGCAGCAAUGCUAGUACCAAUACUUGUUUGACAAGACUUCUGUUAUCCCAUUCCUGCCCAAUCAGGAGUUCAACCCCCAUCUGAAUCCAGAAUUCCCCUACCCCCAGCCCCUCCUUUACUCCUUAAAAACCCUGGCAUAGCUGAGGUCAAUGCUCUCCCUAAUCCAACUGCUGUGUUGGAGCUGACAGAGGGCCCAAACUCAAGCUUGCAAUAAAGUCUCUUUGCUUUUGCAUAUGAACUCGGACUCCUGGUGCCUCUGGG